rnacentral:sRNA from 1 species
GGCACACAACCUAAGCUAAGUCAGUCAGUCAGUAAACUGCAUGUACUGAGUGUCUCAACUGCUUAUAAUAUAACUCCAUUCUGAAUGUUCUGGGGACCCCACACUGAUGAUAAAGAUGGGGUUUCACCAAGUUAGCCAGGAUGGUCUCAAUCUCCUGACCUCGUGAUCCACCCUCCUCAGCCUCCCAAAGUGCUGGGAUUACAGAAAGCCCCAAGGAAAGCUCAGAGCCAACGGGUUCUCCAGCCCCUGUGAUUCAGCACAGCUCAGCAACAGCCCCUAGCAAUGGCCUCAGUGUUCGCUCUGCAGCUGAAGCUGUGGCCACCUCGGUCCUCACUCAGAUGGCCAGCCAAAGGACAGAACUGAGCAUGCCGAUACAAUCGCAUGUAAUCAUGACCCCACAGUCCCAGUCUGCGGGCAGAUGAUGCCUCCUCUGGUGGAGAGGUCCUCAGCCAGAGCUCGCCCACCCAAGAGCCAAGAGAGAUGUCAUCUUAUCCCCUCCCAUCUGCCUUGGACAUGGCAAUAUGGGUGGGGGGGAAUUGUGUGUUUGCUCCAGGAUCUUGAAGCGUCAUAGCCA